rnacentral:rRNA from 1 species
UAUAUUGAAUGGCAUCAUUCGAUAUUGAAAACUCCGGUGGAUAGAGAUGGGCACGCGCAAGAUUAGAUAGUUGGUGAGGUAACGGCUCACCAAGUCUGCGAUCUUUAGGGGGCCUGAGAGGGUGAUCCCCCACACUGGUACUGAGACACGGACCAGACUCCUACGGGAGGCAGCAGUGAGGAAUAUUGGACAAUGGGUGAGAGCCUGAUCCAGCCAUCCCGCGUGAAGGACGACGGCCCUAUGGGUUGUAAACUUCUUUUGUAUAGGGAUAAACCUAGAUACGUGUAUCUAGCUGAAGGUACUAUACGAAUAAGCACCGGCUAACUCCGUGCCAGCAGCCGCGGUAAUACGGAGGGUGCAAGCGUUAUCCGGAUUUAUUGGGUUUAAAGGGUCCGUAGGCGGAUCUGUAAGUCAGUGGUGAAAUCUCACAGCUUAACUGUGAAACUGCCAUUGAUACUGCAGGUCUUGAGUGUUGUUGAAGUAGCUGGAAUAAGUAGUGUAGCGGUGAAAUGCAUAGAUAUUACUUAGAACACCAAUUGCGAAGGCAGGUUACUAAGCAACAACUUGACGCUGAUGGACGAAAGCGUGGGGAGCGAACAGGAUUAGAUACCCUGGGUAGUCCACGCCGUAAACGAUGCUAACUCGUUUUUGGGAUUUAGGUUUCAGAGACUAAGCGAAAGUGAUAAGUUAGCCACCUGGGGAGUACGUUCGCAAGAAUGAAACUCAAAGGAAUUGACGGGGGCCCGCACAAGCGGUGGAUUAUGUGGUUUAAUUCGAUGAUACGCGAGGAACCUUACCAAGGCUUAAAUGGGAAAUGACAGGUUUAGAAAUAGACUUUUCUUCGGACAUUUUUCAAGGUGCUGCAUGGUUGUCGUCAGCUCGUGCCGUGAGGUGUUAGGUUAAGUCCUGCAACGAGCGCAACCCCUGUCACUAGUUGCCAUCAUUAAGUUGGGGACUCUAGUGAGACUGCCUACGCAAGUAGAGAGGAAGGUGGGGAUGACGUCAAAUCAUCACGGCCCUUACGCCUUGGGCCACACACGUAAUACAAUGGCCAGUACAGAGGGCAGCUACACAGCGAUGUGAUGCAAAUCUCGAAAGCUGGUCUCAGUUCGGAUUGGAGUCUGCAA